rnacentral:rRNA from 1 species
UACGGAGGGUGCAAGCGUUAUCCGGAAUCAUUGGGUUUAAAGGGUCCGCAGGCGGGCUUAUAAGUCAGUGGUGAAAUCUCACAGCUCAACUGUGAAACUGCCAUUGAAACUGUAAGUCUUGAAUUCGGUCGAAGUGGGCGGAAUAUGACAUGUAGCGGUGAAAUGCUUAGAUAUGUCCUAGAACACCAAUAGCGAAGGCAGCUCACUAGGCCUGGAUUGACGCUCAGGGACGAAAGCGUGGGGAGCGAACAGG